AGAGUUUGAUCCUGGCUCAGGACGAACGCUAGCGGCGUGCCUAAGGUAUGCAAGUCGAGCGGUUCAGUAUCCUUCGGGGUACUGGAUAGCGGCGAACGGUUGAGUAACACGUAGACAACCUGCCUCCAAGUUGGGGACAACCCCGCGAAAGCGGGGCUAAUACCGGAUGUGGCGGUUUCGAGCAGUCGAGAUUGGCUAAAGGGCUUCGGCUCGCUUGGAGAUGGGUCUGUGGCCUAUCAGCUAGUUGGUGAGGUAACGGCCCACCAAGGCGACGACGGGUAGCUGGUCUGAGAGGAUGAUCAGCCAGACGGGGACUGAGACACGGCCCCGACUCCUUCGGGAGGCAGCAAUGAGGGAUAUUGCACAAUGGGGGAAACCCUGAUGCAGCGACGCCGCGUGGGUGAGGAAGUCCUUCGGGAUGUAAAGCCCUUUUGCAGGGGACGAGAACGGACGGUACCCUGCGAAUAAGCCCCGGCUAACUACGUGCCAGCAGCCGCGGUAAUACGUAGGGGGCAAGCGUUGUCCGGAUUUAUUGGGCGUAAAGGGCGCGUAGGCGGCUUAGCAAGUCGGAUGUGAAAGCUCCAGGCUCAACCUGGAGAUGCCACCCGAGACUGCUAUGGCUAGAGUCCGGUAGGGGACCACGGAAUACCUGGUGUAGCGGUGAAAUGCGCAGAUAUCAGGUGGAACACCGGUGGCGAAGGCGGUGGUCUGGGCCGGCACUGACGCUGAUGCGCGAAAGCGUGGGUAGCGAACAGGAUUAGAUACCCCUGUAGUCC
rnacentral:rRNA from 1 species